rnacentral:rRNA from 1 species
AGAGUUUGAUCCUGGCUCAGGACGAACGCUGGCGGCGUGCUUAACACAUGCAAGUCGAGCGGAAAGGCCCCUUCGGGGGUACUCGAGCGGCGAACGGGUGAGUAACACGUGGGUAAUCUGGCCCCGACAUCGGGAUACUCCGGGGAAACCCGGCCCAAUACCGAAUAAGGUGCGGAGACGUUGGUCGCCGUACCAAAGGUAGCUUCGGCCUCCGGUCAGGGAUGAGCCCGCGGCCCAUUAGCUUGUUGGUGAGGUAACGGCUCACCAAGGCUACGAUGGGUAGCUGGUCUGAGAGGACGAUCAGCCACACUGGGACUGAGACACGGCCCAGACUCCUACGGGAGGCAGCAGUGGGGAAUCUUGCGCAAUGGGCGAAAGCCUGACGCAGCAACGCCGCGUGCGGGAAGAAGGCCUUCGGGUCGUAAACCGCUUUCAGGAGGGACGAAGCCUCCGAGGUUAAUAGCCUACGGGGUGACGGUACCUCCAGAAGAAGGACCGGCUAACUACGUGCCAGCAGCCGCGGUGAUACGUAGGGUCCGAGCGUUGUCCGGAAUCAUUGGGCGUAAAGAGCGUGUAGGCGGCUUGGUAGGUCACGUGUUAAAGCCUGCGGCUCAACCGCAGAAUCGCACGUGAAACCACCUGGCUAGAGUCCGGAAGAGGAGAGCGGAAUUCCUGGUGUAGCGGUGAAAUGCGCAGAUAUCAGGAAGAACACCCGUGGCGAAGGCGGCUCUCUGGGACGGUACUGACGCUGAGACGCGAAAGCGUGGGGAGCGAACAGGAUUAGAUACCCUGGUAGUCCACGCCGUAAACGAUGGGCGCUAGGUGUGGGAGGUGUCGACUCCUCCCGUGCCGAAGCUAACGCAUUAAGCGCCCCGCCUGGGGAGUACGGCCGCAAGGCUAAAACUCAAAGGAAUUGACGG